rnacentral:tRNA from 1 species
GAGGGUAUAGCUCAGUGAUAGAGUGCAUGCCUAGCAUGCACAAGGUCCUGGGUUCAAUCCCCAGUAUCUCCA